rnacentral:rRNA from 1 species
AGAGUUUGAUCCUGGCUCAGGAUGAACGCUAGCUACAGGCUUAACACAUGCAAGUCGAGGGGAAACGAUAGAGAAAGCUUGCUUUUUCUAGGCGUCGACCGGCGCACGGGUGAGUAACGCGUAUCCAACCUGCCCAUCACUUGGGGAUAACCUUGCGAAAGUAAGACUAAUACCCAAUGAUAUCUCUAGAAGACAUCUGAAAGAGAUUAAAGAUUUAUCGGUGAUGGAUGGGGAUGCGUCUGAUUAGCUUGUUGGCGGGGUAACGGCCCACCAAGGCGACGAUCAGUAGGGGUUCUGAGAGGAAGGUCCCCCACAUUGGAACUGAGACACGGUCCAAACUCCUACGGGAGGCAGCAGUGAGGAAUAUUGGUCAAUGGACGCAAGUCUGAACCAGCCAAGUAGCGUGCAGGAAGACGGCCCUCUGGGUUGUAAACUGCUUUUAGUUGGGAAUAAAGUGCACCACGUGUGGUGUUUUGUAUGUACCAUCAGAAAAAGGACCGGCUAAUUCCGUGCCAGCAGCCGCGGUAAUACGGAAGGUCCAGGCGUUAUCCGGAUUUAUUGGGUUUAAAGGGAGCGCAGGCGGACCUUUAAGUCAGCUGUGAAAUACGGCGGCUCAACCGUCGAACUGCAGUUGAUACUGGAGGUCUUGAGUGCACACAGGGAUACUGGAAUUCAUGGUGUAGCGGUGAAAUGCUCAGAUAUCAUGAAGAACUCCGAUCGCGAAGGCAGGUAUCCGGGGUGCAACUGACGCUGAGGCUCGAAAGUGCGGGUAUCAAACAGGAUUAGAUACCCUGGUAGUCCGCACAGUAAACGAUGAAUACUCGCGAUUUGCGAUACACAGUAAGUCGCCAAGCGAAAGCGUUAAGUAUUCCACCUGGGGAGUACGCCGGCAACGGUGAAACUCAAAGGAAUUGACGGGGGCCCG